rnacentral:rRNA from 1 species
AUACGGAGGGUGCAAGCGUUACUCGGAAUCACUGGGCGUAAAGCGCGCGCAGGCGGUCUUUUAAGUUGGAUGUGAAAGCCUACGGCUCAACCGUAGAACUGCAUCCAAAACUAUUAGACUAGAGUGUGGGAGAGGAAGAUGGAAUUAGUUGUGUAGGGGUAAAAUCCGUAGAGAUAACUAGGAAUACCAAAAGCGAAGGCAAUCUUCUGGAACACUACUGACGCUGAGGCGCGAAGGCGUGGGGAGCAAACAGGAUUAGAAACCCCGGUAGUCC